GCCGCCACCACCCUGCUUCCCUUUGCUUUGCGCUAUGCAAUGGCUGCUGGGUUGGGUGGCAGAUGCCUGAGGUGAACCCCUGGGGAUAUAGCUGGGCGUGCUGUCCGUCCAUCCACCCAUCCAUCUUUCCGUCCGUCCGUCCGUCCGUCCAUCCAUCCAUCCGUCCGUCCGUCCGUCCGUCCCCGGGCCGCCUCUCCGCGGAUCAGCCAGCAAGGGGCGCUGGGCGGCGGGUUUGCGGGGCGGCGGGUUUGCGGGCUGCGGAUCACCUGCAGCAGCGGGGGGGCCGGGAGCUCCGCCCUCCCCCCCCCGCCGUUAAUCGCAUCCCCCUCCCCCUGUGCCAGGCACUGGCACUGAGGCGGCCGAGCCGCUCCGAGCCGUGCCGAGCCUCGCCAACCUGCUGCAGGCGGGCGGGCACCCGCACCCCGCUCGCAGCCGGGGCCGGGCUGGGGCUGCCGCCUCCGCCAUCCCCGCACUUGCCCCAGCCCGGUAGGGCGGCCAGCCUUCGGCCGCCUCCUCCUCCUCACCGGCAGCCACCGCCGCCGCCCGGCAGAAAGACAGAGCGGGGGAGCCAUGGCCGAGGGGGGCGAGGGCGAGGACGAGAUCCAGUUCCUGCGAACUGAUAUGUGGCACCUAUGCUCGUUGCACAGCUGAACAGUAAAUGGAAUGCAGUGAAGCAGAACAGUGCAUAUGUGGAGGCUGAGGAAGCUAUUAAAGACUGAGCUAGUAAAGUCUGUGCUGAGAUCCUGAUUUAUAGCAUAUGUAAGUCGAUGGAAAUAUUCCACUAACUGCAGUAUUUGUCAUAUAAAACAGCAGGAGAAGAAAGUUUGAGUGUACUAGCAUAACUUACCAUUUUUAACCUCUAAAUGCAUAAUUUUGCAAAUGUGACAUUCAGUGGUCUGUAUGCUAUUUCAGAGUUGGUAUGCUCUCACAGGGCAGUAAAAUCACAUGGUCAGUGUUAAGUCUUUGUGAGGUAAUUAUGUGGACAGAUUAAUUAAUUAUUAUGGACAGAUUACAAAGAGUACAACAAAUUAUUUAGGUCAGUAAUAGUUCCUGUGUUUUCUGUGAGGGAGUAAACUAUAAAAUAUAAAAAAUCAUGUAAAAUAGCUGAAAACUGUUGCCUGUUUUUAUCCUGAAGUGGAAGCAAAAUGUAAAUGUCAAGGUCAUGACAUAAUGAGCUGAAGCACAGAAUUCAGAAGUUUAAAAAACAUGCAUAAUUAUUGAAAGUUUAAGGUACUAGAAUGUGAAGAAGGGAAAAACAAACAAACAGCCCCCCCCCUAAACUUAGCAGGUUCUGAAAGAAAUGCUUAAAAUGCAAAAAUUCCACCAUCAAAACCACACCUACAUCUGUAUAGCUAGCAGCUCUAGUGCUGUAGAUGAAGCCUUCCUGUGACAAUCCAGUCAGCCAGUUUUGUUCCGUUAAUAGAACUGACAUAUCAAGAAGGUUAAAGAUUAGUCAGAACUGACUUUACACAGGAGGUAUAAAUUUUCAGGCUUUUAGGGUCAAAGAGUCACACUGUGUAUUACAAGGA
rnacentral:lncRNA from 1 species